UCUUCAAAGCACCGAAUGCUUGCCUGCAAAAAAGGAAAUGAAAGUGUGAAGCGCCAGCAUCCUAGUCCUAUCAAAACACAAAAAAGCAAUUUUUAUCUUUAUGAUAAUCACAACCCGCCGAGAUAAGGAUUAGGCUUCGCGUCCAAGUCCUAGCAGGAUCUGUCUCCCUCGGUCAUGCUUAUCAGGAGGAGAGAUGUUAGGCUGAGGGAGAGGAGGACUGACCGCUAUAAAUAUCCAGCAGUUGGCAAAGAAAAAGAGGAGUAAAAGAGUGGAAGCCAUAAAAUAAAGCAAAACUCAGCUUUGUCUUUGUCUUCGAAUUCAAGUAGAAUAGGCAAACAAAAAAGAAUAAGAAAACAGAGGGGAGUGGAUUUGAAAAUAAAAGGAGAAGGAUGUUAUUCGGCCGGAGCUAAAACCAUCACCCCGUCUGCUUCCCCAUCACCGUCUUCACCCAGACAUCAAUCUUUUGGUUGUGUCACAUACCGGCAGCUCCGUUUCGUUUGCUGUAUAUGUAAAAUGGAUGGCUACGUCUUUUGGAUGUGAGGCGAGUCCAAUAGAGCUAUUUGUUGAAACACAUGUGCAGAGUUAAGACUAACAAAAAGGGGUGCAAUAGUUCGUUAACAAUCGCGUUUAACGCUUUGUGGAGACCUAUAAUAGCUAAUUGAGGGAGAGAUAUAGGAAUGAUCCUUCGACCCAUCCUGAUUUCGAUCCGGAUUUGUGGAUGAAGAUAGGAUUGUUUAGUAGAUCUAAUAAAAAUCAGGUAUACGGGCUCUCCAACACUACGGUUGAGAACUUACGGGUGACUUGUAGUGUCUCAACCAUUGGGAGCUCCAAUCAAUAUCGAGCACCCAAUCUAAGGAGUUUGUGGCCUUAUAGUAACAUAUGACUCAUGUCACCGAGAAAUACGACCAACUAUCAGCGUGUUAUGAACAAAACAUGGCUCCUAUGACUCAUCUCACUGAGAAAUAUGAGCAACUCUUAGUGAAUUAUGAACAACUUCGCUAAAUGAUUUGAACAUGACAUCACAGAGUAGUGAUACAUGUGCGCCUUCUUUUUUACUGUAUAACAACCAGCCUCUUUCUCCUCU